GCUGAUCAGUGAUGCAAGCCAGCAGAAACUUUACAUCAACGUCAUCAAGAUGUGUCCGAUCAAUCGUACGAUUAUAUACUCAGCGAUUGAAAAGUUCGUGAUCCUGGAUAGGAGAGGAGCGGAUCGUCAACAUGCAGGGUUGUUUUAAGAUCCAAAGCAAUGUUACACAGACAGAAGAAUAGGUGAAUGCUGCUCCAGUAUAUGUUGUAUAUAUGAUGGCUAUAGCAAUAACAUACAUGUAUAUCACUUGGGAAAUCAUGCACAACAAACUGUCCAUAUGAUGAUACCACGUUGACAAAGAUAUUUAAAUAUGGAGAGGGAUAAAGAGACAUGCUACAGAAGAAGGAAGAUAAAGGCACAUGAUACAGACACCAGAGUGAUUACACCAACAUCAGUCCAGUAACAUUGGUACACACUGAAACUUGAGACCACAAAGGCCUGGAUUCUUUUGAAAUAUACUGUCAUCUGUGCAAUAUCACUUGGAAUCAUGGAAAACUUGAAUCACAGUGUUAACAAUUUUCAGUGAAUUUUCAAUGUCUAGCAUAGAAAUAAUUAAUUUUAUGUUUGAAUAUAUAGCUGGAAAUUUUCCUAUAUGUAAUUCACUUACUGCGUUCAACAGGUUUGGUACACGCAAACUCAUAAAUUGUAUCUCAAAAACAUAAGACUUAAAGUAUGUAUCCUAAAUAAUGACCAAUGCAAUCAGCACAGUAUUACACAUGUAAUAAAAUCUUAAUGUUUACUGACCUUCUAAGAAGAGAGAUAUAACUCUCAGUUGGUGUGAAUGACUAUUGUAAAGGCAAAGUUUUACAUGUUUACAUAAACAAAGACUUUGAAAGU